CUUCGCUUCCCGCGUUUUGACUGUUGUUUACCUUUUCGGCUCCUGGUGUUCCUGCAACCUUCGCAAGUCCACCUCCAUUUGUCGUGAAUCCCCGUUUCUGAGCGUUGAUUUUCCCUUCUUGGUGUCUUGUUGAUUUUUCACGAGCCACAAGGAAGGCCAUGGUUUCAUCGAACAGCCGGGAGUGAAGCGGGAUGCUGAAGGAUAGCGGCGCUCACUUCAGUGAGCCCAGCUUGAACCCCACCAUUGGCAUCCUGGGCACCACUCUGAAUAAGCUGCUUCAGUUGUGACUUGUAGCACAAAGUUUCUGUCACCCAGUUCAUCGUCAUCUCGGAACCAAAGGCAUUGGUCCUGGCUGCUAGUCACCACUUGAAUAA
rnacentral:lncRNA from 1 species